rnacentral:sRNA from 1 species
UUGACUCUCAAAUGAGAAUCGUUAUGAUUAUCACAGCUGGUCGCGAGAUCAGCCGAUAACUGAAAGACCAUUGGUUCGGACUCUCAGAUUAUCUCCUCAUCAGGCUAAUCACGGUUAUUUGACCCGGCUCUGCCGGGUCUUUUUUUG